rnacentral:rRNA from 1 species
GACGAACGCUGGCGGCGUGCCUAAUACAUGCAAGUAGAACGCUGAAGGAGGAGCUUGCUCUUCUGGAUGAGUUGCGAACGGGUGAGUAACGCGUAGGUAACCUGCCUGGUAGCGGGGGAUAACUAUUGGAAACGAUAGCUAGUACCGCAUAACAGUAGAUGUUGCAUGACAUUUGCUUAAAAGGUGCAAUUGCACCACUACCAGAUGGACCUGCGUUGUAUUAGCUAGUUGGUGGGGUAACGGCUCACCAAGGCGACGAUACAUAGCCGACCUGAGAGGGUGAUCGGCCACACUGGGACUGAGACACGGCCCAGACUCCUACGGGAGGCAGCAGUAGGGAAUCUUCGGCAAUGGACGGAAGUCUGACCGAGCAACGCCGCGUGAGUGAAGAAGGUUUUCGGAUCGUAAAGCUCUGUUGUAAGAGAAGAACGGGUGUGAGAGUGGAAAGUUCACACUGUGACGGUAUCUUACCAGAAAGGGACGGCUAACUACGUG